rnacentral:rRNA from 1 species
GUCUACGGCCAUACCUAGGCGAAAACACCAGUUCCCGUCCGAUCACUGCAGUUAAGCGUCUGAGGGCCUCGUUAGUACUAUGGUUGGAGACAACAUGGGAAUCCGGGGUGCUGUAGGCUCCU